CGGAGAGCCGCCCCGCGAGGACGCGGACACCGCCGGCCCGAGAGAACCCCGCGCAGUGCCACCUGUGGGUGACUGGGGACUCUGUCGGAAUUAGGGAUCGCACCUCCCCUUCCGCUGAGUGGUGGCGAGCCAGCCUUGAAAGUUCCUGGGUUUCCUUCUUAAAGCUGCAAGUGCCAAGAUAGUGGAGAAGAGGCCCCUUGAUAUCAAGACCAGAGAGGAAGAAACGGGUCACAGAUGGUCUGAGGCUCCUGCCAGCCCUGACAAUCUCCUAUUUCAAGGAGGCAUCGAAUAAAUAUUUGCUGAACAGACACAGUAAACGGGGCCCUGUUGAGCGCCUCAUCCGAGAACCAGCCGGGAGUGUCGACAGGAUCGGGGGGUGGGGGCACCCAGAAGCGAGUGUUUGGAGGUGGAGAUAAAACUACAACGCCCCUCAUCCAAGGCCAACAGGCCGGGUUGAGGAAAAUCUCUGUUGGCGAUCUUAGCCCCA